UGACUUGCUAUUGGCGAGCGACGCCGUA
rnacentral:sRNA from 1 species